CCUUCGAUAGCUCAGUUGGUAGAGCGGUGGACUGUAGAAAGAUAAUUGCAAUGUAGAAAUCCAUAGGUCGCUGGUUCAAAUCCGGCUCGAAGGA
rnacentral:tRNA from 1 species